rnacentral:lncRNA from 1 species
UCACAAGCGCUUUCUUCGUUUCGUGGUGAACAAGGUACACUACCAAUUUGCCGUCCUUCCCUUCGGACUGUCCGCGGCUCCGAGAGUGUUCACCAAAUGUAUGGCCGUCAUGGCAGCAUACCUUCGUCAACAAAGGAUACAGGUGUUCCCGUAUCUAGACGACUGGCUGGUCCGCGGCCGUACCAGGGAACAAGUUCGGGCGCACGUCCGCAUAAUACUACAAACAUUCCACGACUUAGUCAUCUCUAGGUUGUGGGGCUCACCUCGGGGAGCACCAUACACAAGGCCUGUGGACUGCAUCCCAACUAGUUCUGCACAUCAAUGUUCGGGAGCUGAUGGCUGUGCGCCUAGCUUGUCAGGCAUUUCUCGGUCUCCUACAUGGCCGCUGCGUGUUAGUCCUCACAGACAACACCACGGCCAUGUUCUACAUCAACAAGCAAGGAGGAGCCUGGUCGUCUCCCCUAUGCCAAGAGGCCAUUCGCCUGUGGGAGUUCUGCAUUGCCCACUCGAUACAUCUCAUGGCAUCGUUCCUCCCUGGAGUCCAGAACACUCUGGCGGACCGUCUCAGCAGAUCCUUCCAGACGCACGAGUGGUCGAUUCACUCGGACAUCAUCUAUUCCAUCUUCCAAAGGUGGGGAUUUCCCCAGGUCAACCUGUUCGCAUCUCAAGCCAACAGGAAGUGCCACGCGUUCUGCUCCCUUCAAGGGCGAUCUCCGGGCUACCUGUCCGACGCCUUCCUUCUAACGUGGAAGGGCCAGCGGGCCACGCCCCUCUUGGAGGCGUCUAUUCCCCUCAUACUCGACUAUCUCCUGUCCCUGAGACAGCAGGGCUUGGCGAUAUCUUCAGUCAGAGUUCACCUGGCCGCUAUAUCGGCGUUCCACCCAAGAGAACACAUUUCCUCGGUCUUCUCUAACCCGAUGGUUGUCAGAUUCCUCAAGGGCUUAGACCGCAUUUACCCGCAGCAACGCCAACCUGUUCCGGCGUGGGAUCUUAAUCUGGUCCUCUCCAAGCUCACAGGACCCCCGUUUGAGCCAUUGGCU